rnacentral:lncRNA from 1 species
GAUGUGUUUUUUGCUUGUCUGAGUAAGCCGACUAGGAUUCCUGGCACCAUCGUGAACGGCUCUGGUGGGCACAGGCAGCCCUCUGCUGCUUCUGAUCUUAGAGAAAUGAAAAUAAAGUCAGCCUCCAUAAAAUUAUGAAGAAGAAAGGCAGUAUCAUAAUGAUUAUGCAGGAACCAAGGACUGGCCUGGAAGAUGGGCCCCCAAGCUCACAGGGACACCAGCAGGCACUGCUUCUAGACAUGGAGCCUCAGUUCCAGAAUGUCCCGUGACAUGACCAGGAGUAGGGAACCAGCCCUCCCGACCUCCAUGUCUUAUUUGCCAGGCAGGGGUAACUGCAGGCUGGCCCUGACCAGGAUGACCACUGGCUCCCACUGUGGAUGCAUUUCGUGCGUGGCCUGCAUUGGACAUCGGCUCACCCAUGUGCUGGGGUGUCCAGGGUCCAGGGGAAGCUCCAGGACACAUUUGAGGAUCAGGAGAGCAACCUGCAUAGUGCAGGACUCUUGUCAGGGAGACCACGACCCGGGAGCCUUUCCUAGAAGACACAGAGUCCCCAAAAAUACCUGUGACAAGGGUCUCAUCACAGCACUGUCUGAGAGUGCUUGGAGAGAGGGAACCUGCCUGCAGCUGUUCCCAGAGCAGUGGGGCGGGGGACACUCCCCUACUGAAGAAGGCAUUUCCUUUUGGCGCCUCCAGUUCCCCCUGCCAGGACGUCAGCACCCAGGCUCUGAUGUGGGCUGCUGGGGGCCACGGCACUGCAAUGCUGCCCUGGAUUGAAUGGGGCGGGGGCUAUAGAUGUAUAAUACAAGUUGGAUUUUAGAGACUUGGUAUGUGGCAUAGAGUCUCAAAUGUCCAAAGAUGUGUCGCAUUGAUUUCAGGGUGAGUGGAUAGUUGUUCUGAUAUACUGAGUUCAGUAAAAUACAUCGGCAGCAGGAAUUUUACCGGUUACUGUUUCGUUUUUGUAAAUAUGGCUACCACAAAAUAUAAGGGCACGCAGGUUCACGCCCUCACCCAGCACUGGCCUCCCCUUCCCAGACAAUCAGCCACAUCUUCGCCUGCCAGCAUGGCCCCUUGUUCUCAGGGCUCCUGCCCUCAUGCUCCUGUGUCCUCCAGUCCCCCUGCCCUCUAGGAAGCCUCGUGGCUGAUGGGGCUUUGCUCAACCUGGUCUCGCGCUCACCUCCACCUUUGGCUCUAAGGCUUGUCAUCCCUAA